UGCGAGUCGCACGUAUAACGUGGCAGACGGCUCAGUAACACGUGGCCAAACUACCCUACAGACCGUGAUAACCUCGGGAAACUGAGGCUAAUAACGGAUAGUGCUCCCGAGCUUGAAUGCUGGGAGCGCGAAAGCUCCGGCGCUGUAGGAUGUGGCUGCGGCCGAUUAGGUAGACGGUGGGGUAACGGCCCACCGUGCCGAUAAUCGGUACGGGUUGUGAGAGCAAGAACCCGGAGACGGACUCUGGGACAAGAGUCCGGGCCCUACGGGGCGCAGCAGGCGCGAAACCUUUACACUGUACGCAAGUACGAUAGGGGGACACCGAGUGCGAGGGCAUAGAGCCCUCGCUUUUGUACACCGUAAGGUGGUGCACGAAUAAGGGCUGGGCAAGACCGGUGCCAGCCGCCGCGGUAACACCGGCAGCCCAAGUGAUGGCCGCUAUUAUUGGGCCUAAAGCGUCCGUAGCUGGCCGUUCAGGUCCGUCGGGAAAUCCACUGGCUUAACCAGUGGGCGUCCGGCGGAAACCGUUCGGCUUGGAACAGGGAGACCA
rnacentral:rRNA from 1 species